UGCACCUUAUUUCUCUAUUUCUUUCUUUCAUCCUUUUCCCAUCUUCAAGCUCCAACCAUACUCCCAAAUAUUGACCAAAUCUUGUUUUUUUUCUCUUGAUCUCUAUGAAUGUUGCUUUUUAAUCUGACUUUGAAGUGUUUAUUCUUUCUCUUCUUUUGAAAUAUGAUCUGAAUCUCUGGGGCAGUGCAUGUGGCAACCAAGAGGAAAAUGAAUCAGCAAAAUAAUUCCACUCGAGAUCUUCCUCAAACAUCCACUCCAUUGCAACUGGCAAUCUAUUAUGGGGAUUAAGACUCUUUGUUCUAGCUUCCGGUGACUUCAACCCGUCUAUAUUAUUUUUGUUUAUCAUGUUUGGUUUGUUUGGUGGAGGAGUAUAAUAAGUGACGUAGUUAUUCCAGGAGCCCAAGUCCAAAUUAUUCAAGAGGCAGAAGUUACUCAAGAAGCAAGAGCCCUCGACGGAGCUAUAGCAGCCAGAGCAGAAAGUUUAGUUUCUGACUCUCUUAUCUAUCACCUUCAAAAGAUUUAGCAUGUUUACUAACUGUCAUUCGGCAGUGUCUCCUCGGGGUAAAUACUCUCAUCGCUUUGCGUCUCUCUCGCGCUCCAGGUUUUUUUUGCCCUGCUCGCUCUGUUUCUAGACAAUGUAUGAGGAGGCAAGUUAAGUUUUGAAUAAUUCUCUUGGAAGUAUAAGAACUGUUGCGUCAUUUUGUGCAAAAGAGAAGGUCAUAGAAAUGUGCCACAUGAAAGAGUGAAGCCCCAUUGAAUGCAAGAAUAAAGAAAUUUUUAUUAGCAGCCUGGCAAAUUUUUUCCUUCUGAGGAUGGCGUCUAUAUCCAUGACCAAUCAAGCUCAUUGGAGUCAAGUACGACCAAGAGGAGCUCUAUAUCAAUAUUUGCUAUUCCAGACUAGAAAUCAAGAAAAAAAAUUCAGGUGAUGAUUUUGGUAGGACACAGAAUACUCUGAAGGGUAGUAUCCAAGAAGGCCAGAUGUUUGAACUUUUAGAGACCUUUGCUUGACCAUUUGCUGUGGCGGGGUGAAUUGACAGUGAAUUGCCAAUUUGGUUCCAUUUCCUCGCUAUCUUUUUUCUUCUGAAAAAAAUAAUUACAGAGAAUUUGCACCAUUUGAAAAAUUAUUGGUUGAUAUGAAUGGCUGCAAUUCAUGAAUUUUGGAGCAUCUAGAGUUUAAGAGAUGUGCUGAUGAGCUUCUUAAUUGAGACAUAAGUUCAGCUUCCCUAUGUUGUGAAAUGUAAAAUUGCACGCCACGGCAUUUGGAGUAACUCAUCUUUCUUUAUUCCCCUAA